GAUGAACGCUGGCGGCAGGCUUAACACAUGCAAGUCGAGCGCCCCGCAAGGGGAGCGGCAGACGGGUGAGUAACGCGUGGGAACGUACCUUUUGCUACGGAAUAACUCAGGGAAACUUGUGCUAAUACCGUAUGUGCCCUUCGGGGGAAAGAUUUAUCGGCAAAGGAUCGGCCCGCGUUGGAUUAGCUAGUUGGUGAGGUAAAGGCUCACCAAGGCGACGAUCCAUAGCUGGUCUGAGAGGAUGAUCAGCCACACUGGGACUGAGACACGGCCCAGACUCCUACGGGAGGCAGCAGUGGGGAAUAUUGGACAAUGGGCGCAAGCCUGAUCCAGCCAUGCCGCGUGAGUGAUGAAGGCCCUAGGGUUGUAAAGCUCUUUCACCGGUGAAGAUAAUGACGGUAACCGGAGAAGAAGCCCCGGCUAACUUCGUGC
rnacentral:rRNA from 1 species